GAUGAACGCUGGCGGCGUGCCUAAUACAUGCAAGUCGAGCGAACAGACGAGGAGCUUGCUCCUCUGACGUUAGCGGCGGACGGGUGAGUAACACGUGGAUAACCUACCUAUAAGACUGGGAUAACUUCGGGAAACCGGAGCUAAUACCGGAUAAUAUAUUGAACCGCAUGGUUCAAUAGUGAAAGACGGUUUUGCUGUCACUUAUAGAUGGAUCCGCGCCGCAUUAGCUAGUUGGUAAGGUAACGGCUUACCAAGGCAACGAUGCGUAGCCGACCUGAGAGGGUGAUCGGCCACACUGGAACUGAGACACGGUCCAGACUCCUACGGGAGGCAGCAGUAGGGAAUCUUCCGCAAUGGGCGAAAGCUUGACGGAGCAACGCCGCGUGAGUGAUGAAGGUCUUCGGAUCGUAAAACUCUGUUGUUAGGGAAGAACAAAUGUGUAAGUAACUAUGCACGUCUUGACGGUACCUAAUCAGAAAGCCACGGCUAACUACGUG
rnacentral:rRNA from 1 species